rnacentral:rRNA from 1 species
GAUGAACGCUGGCGGCAUGCCUAAUACAUGCAAGUCGAACGGACAGAGAAUGAUGCUUGCCUCUUACAAGUGGGUGGCGACCGGCUGGGUAACAAUACAACAACAUCCCCCUAGGCUGGGGGGAUCACGUGGAGACAGUUACUAAAAUAGAAUAUACCUUCGUGUCGUUUGAGCAAGCGAUCUUCGGACCUUCCGCGUCAGCAUGAGCCGGAUUCGCGUUAGAUUAGUUAGUUGGUAGGGUAAAGGCCUACCAAGGCAAGGAUGCGUAGCUGAGCUGAGAGGCUGAUCAGCCACACUGGAACUGAGACACGGCCCAGACUCCUACGGGAGGCAGCAGUGGGGAAUAUUGGACAAUGGGCGAAAGCCUGAUAGAGCAAUUCCGCGUGUGUGAUGAAGGCCUUCGGGUUGUAAAGCCCUGUUGUAUGGGAAGAACAGCUGUAGAUGAAUACAAUGCUAGUUUGACGGUACCAUAAGAGUAAGCGCCGGCUAAAUACGUG